UUUCGGCCGCUGGCAGUGAAAAGACUUAAAGUUUUUAAUUUUAUUAUUAUCGGGUUUGUAUUGUUCAAAACCGAUUUUGGAAAAAAUCAUUUGUAACCACGUAUUUUGUGAAUCUUACUGAUAUCUGCUUUUAAUAACAAACCAAAUGUUAGCAAUUCCGUCACGUUUUUGCGCAGUGUCGUGCCGUAAUGUAUAGUUUUAAUUAAUUAAACCACGCAUUUCGUGCAUUCAGCACAUCAGUUACUUGGGCAAGAUGACAGAAAAAGGAACGGCUUGAAACACAACGGCGAAAAUAAAGUUUUAGUUGAUGCGAGUGCGCACUUACCUUCCUCUACCGACUGACGUGGUUGAGUAAUGUGUUGGACGCAGUGAACAUCGCCUGCAAAGAAAAUACUCGUAUGGCUAACAUAUUGUGAAAGGACGAAUGCGUAUUCUGGAAAUAUGCUUGGCAGAUGUGCUCAACGUUUUUAUUCUUUAACAUGCGUUUUAUAUACAUUGGAACAGACUUAAUUUGUUUUUAUUUGCUAAUGAAACAUGAAACAUGAAACACAAAAUGAUUCAUCAUAAACUACAGUUCGUUUUGAAAACAGGGAAUAAUGUAAGAUUAUACAAUAUUUAAAUUAUCACAUAUGAAUUUAAUGAAAAAUAUUAUUUACAAGGA